AGCAGCCGCGGUAAUUCCAGCUCCAAUAGCGUAUAUUAAAGUUGUUGCAGUUAAAGAGCUCGUAGUUGAAUUUCGGGGUCAGUGGGUCGGUCGUGCCACUGGUAUGUACUGGCCCUACUGAUUCCUCCUUCUUGAAGAACUGUAAUGCCAUUAAUUUGGUGUUGCAGGGAAACAGGACUGUUACUUUGAAAAAAUUAGAGUGUUUAAAGCAGGCAAUCGCUUGAAUACAUUAGCAUGGAAUAAUGAAAUAGGACGAUCGAUCCUAUUUUGUUGGUUUCUAGGAUUGACGUAAUGAUUAAUAGGGAUAGUUGGGGGCAUUAGUAUUCAAUUGUCAGAGGUGAAAUUCUUGGAUUUAUUGAAGACUAACUACUGCGAAAGCAUUUGCCAAGGAUGUUUUCAUUAAUCAAGAACGAAAGUUAGGGGAUCGAAGACGAUCAGAUACCGUCGUAGUCUUAACCAUAAACUAUGCCGACUAGGGAUCGGAUGAUGUUAAUUUUUUAAUGACUCA
rnacentral:rRNA from 1 species